UAACAUCUGUGCCACGUAUAAUAGAAAACAACUAGAAAUACAUGGAAUUUUUCUUUAAAUAACGUUUGUUGGGGGAAGGGAGAAUAUUGGAAAACUAAAGCAAAUGACUGUUUUAAUAGUUAUCUUUGAUAAGGGUGUGAGGUAAAUUGCUGGAAUAAUGUAGAAAGAAAUCCAGAAAUAUAAAUUUGUCAGCAAGGUACAAAUGACCUUCCCAGGUCUACUUUCCACAUUCCAGACAACAGAGAAUCCUUAAAAUUUAAAAGACUAAGAACAAGUGCUAUAUGACAAUAUUCUUUAAAGGCCUCCAUAAAAAGAUAAAUUUCAGUAAGCCUGAAGCAUUCAAAUGCCUGUGCUAAUGACAAUAAAGAUUUCUGGCUGCUUGAGAUCACUACAUUUUACUGACAAGGUCAAAGAGGAACACUGAGUUGGAAGCAGCACCUGACCUAGCUGGAGCUUGCUUAGUAUAUGCAUUCACCCAGUAGUAACAAGUCAGGGAGCUCAUUGGAUGUUAGAAGACCUUUCUUGGGAGAACCUAGUUGUACCAAAACCUGUAUUUAAAUUAUUUUUAGUAUUUUAAAGUAACAGUUUUAGAAUCAGUUUAAAAUUAGCAUUUUCAUCUAAGACACCUACUUCUUAAGUGUAAAGAAAACACUGAGGACACUUAAGGUGAAAAAACAAACAAAAAAGAGAACUAUACCCAAUCUGGUGAAAGCAGAUAUUAAAUAAACUACUACUCCAGGGUAUAAUUCUUUUUAUGCAAGCUCAAGUUAAAAAAUAGACCUCAAGACCAUGAUUAACUUAUUGGAAAAAAAAACUUCUUGACCAUAGUUAUAUUUUAAUAAGUAAAUGAACUUAAAAGUGUUUGUUUUAAAAAGUAUAUAUAUAUAUAUAUCUGUGGUCAAAGAGUUAAAGCUUACCAAGUUACUUUUUAUUUAUUUAUUUAUUUUUUAAAUCUAAAAUGAAGAUGCAUUAAAAUUCUGGGAGGUAGAAGAAAAUACAGUCAUCAACUCUAGGAUUAGUAUUAUGUUCUUACUGAAUACCUAUUGAGGUAUUAUACAUACUUUAUCUUAAAGAGCUAGGAUUAAGUAUUACCUUCCUGUCACUGAAUGGAAUGCUUUAAUGCUCACAGGUACCUUCAGUCAUGAUUACUGCCAUCACUAACUGGCACUGUCAACUCACUUCUGGCUUCAGAUAAUUAGGCUAUUCAAGUAUGUGAAGAGAGUCCAAGAAGAUGAAACUAGGCAACAUAGCAACAAAGCUCCUCCAUUAAUCUAUCUGCAGUUCAACCAGUCAGGUGUCUCUGACUGCCCUGAUAAAAGAUACCCAGGUUACUUUGCUGCCCUCUUUAGUUUCUUAAAGUUGGAAAAGCUGGGAAGAAAUAGGAAUAAACUCAGAAGCAAGAAGGUAUUGAAUUACCUCUUAGCAAAGAAGCAAAAAUGAACUGAACCAUACACUACUGGGGAAAGGGCAUACCAUGGGUCAGAGCAAAGAGCCUUUCACCUCAGUUUUCGUGUUUGCAAGACUUACAGGUACCUUUGCCCAAGCACUUUUACAAUCACAAGGCAUAUUCACAACUUAAUGUAUAAAGUGACAGACAGAAUGUUAAAGUCUCUCUGGUAAUUGAAUCCUAAAUUGUUUCCAGUUGAUAUUUCAUUUUCACUAUCUCCUCUUUAUAGCAAACAUUUAUACUGCUUGUCAAUUAUAUUCUAAUCAGACUGUAGUGGUACUUAUUAGAUUGUCCCAAAGAGUGAAAGGAAUCUAACAUGUACAUUACAAUGGUGGGUAGUUAUGAAGGAAGUUCCUUUCAAG